rnacentral:lncRNA from 1 species
AAUGAAUGGCAGGACUUUUUCUGGUCAGGAAUUGGAUUGGGAAGGGCUCCUCAAACAAGUGGCAGGAUAAUAUCUUGUACCUGUUGGAGAGAAUAUAGGUACUGUAAUAAAUUAGUUUGUGAUAUUUCUGCUAAUUUCACAUCUCUUCACUUAGGCAAGAGAGGCAGCGCCUUCUUAUACAUGAUUUCAAAGGGUGAGAACUUAGCGUGGUAAGGGGUGCACCUUACUUUAAGUAGAGCUAAAGGAAGGAGACUUACUUAAUUUACACUGGUUUUUAAGAUUUUGUAAGAGUGUUUUUUAGGGUGUGGUUCAUGCGUUGUACUUGCCUGGAGCUCUGAGGUUGAUAGGCACGAUGGAGCUUCUAUUGAAUGUUUAAGGCCUUACUGACUGACUGAGCUAUAGGCGACGUGAAGGCUGUUCUAUUAUCAGACUUUAUGGCAGCAGGCAGCCUAUACUGAACGAUGAUUUCAUUGUGUAAAAACUUAACUACUGUGUUGGUGGUUUCGUUUUCGGUAGCAAAUGCCUUAGUCUAUCUGGAGAAGGUGUCUACUAGUACUAGAAGGCAUUUGUACUUAGCCUGGUGUGGUUUGACUUCUGUAAAGUCAAUUUCUUACUUUUUUCUUGGCGAGGUUUUUCAGAGACAGUGGCCUGGGCUGGGUUUAGGACUUUGUUUGGCAUUUACUUGGGCGCAGGUUGUGAACUGGAGAGCUGCUUAAUCUGUUAGGCUUUGAAGACGGGGGAUCUUAAAAUGGCUCCGCAGGAGCUGAGGUAGCUUUGCUCUUUUUAAGUGGGUGGUAGACUGUAGGUGACGGACUAAAUUUUCUUUAAGGGUUCAGGAUAUGAAGCGUCUAGAGUCAGGAAGAAUCUACUAACUUUCCUGAUUUUUAUUGACUCUGAGAUCUGAAGCCAGUUUUUUGUUGUUGUUGUUGAGUGUACGGGAUUGUCAGGCAGAUCUGGCUGUGGAAAGGAGACUGUGGGCAGCAAGUUUAGAGGCGUGACUGAAAGUCUCGCUGCGACCUGAGCUGCUGAAUCAGGUUUCUGGUUACUAUGGGCAACGGCCGUGUUUUCUUUUUGAUGUCCUUUGCAGUGGAUCACAGCUACCUGCUGAGACAGACAAGGAGAGGGUUUCCUGUGAUGGGAUCAGUCAGAUGCCUGCCUGGCCACUCCCCCUGAGGGGACCUGGGCUCCUCUUACCAUUGGCAGGCCGGUAUAAACUUGCGGCUCAGAUCAAGCUAUGCCUGAUGCUGCCUUAAGCCUUAUGAGGUCGCCAAGGAACCGCAGGUGAGGAUUCAGGAGAUAAUUCUGCAAACAGAACUUCCUGAGAACUGAGAUGGGGGAAAUCGCUGGUAUUAGAAGAGUGAAAAGAAACUCCUGGAGGGCAGAGGCAUGCCUGCCAUCUUCAUCAAUGCAUUACCACCACCCAACACUAUCGGGGGACCUGCCCUGAUAAUCAGUCUACAGGUGAAUCCAGCAGCUCCAGAGAGACAGCGACCAGCGAGAAGGGGCCAUGAUGAUGGUGGUGGUUUUGUCAAAACGAAAAGGGGGAUAUGUAGGGAAAAGAAAGAGAGAUCAGACUGUUACUGUGUCUACAUAGAAAGGGAAGACAUAAGAGACUCCAUUUUG